rnacentral:tRNA from 1 species
GGGCGGUUAGCUCAGUUGGUUAGAGCGCUACCUUGACAUGGUAGAGGUCAGCAGUUCGACUCUGUUACCGCCCACCA